CUUACUGACUCUACCACAUGAAUGAAUGGCUUCAUGCCGGGGGUCACGCCCACCCGAGACGAGCCCGCCACACCCCGUACAUGGUGAGAUGUGAGCGAUAGAGGAGAGGGAUGGAUUCACAAGAAAACAUAGUUCCAGACUAUCAAGCAAGCACAAGCAUCUCAUCAGCAUCAAUUCAAUUCAUCUAGGCCAAAGCCUGAAAACCUGCAGCCACUAAACCCGUGAGUUACAAAGCUCAAUCUAUCAAAUCCUGUGUGACUACUAUCAGCUCAAAUCUUCUAAAUUAGUAGCACAGUGGCCUGCAUAAAAGCUCAUUGCUUCCAAGUCCCAGCAAACCUGUGAGGAACCUGUAUCCAGAUUCACUCUUGAAAAGACUGUUAUGUUAAAGAGUGUUUCAUAAAUUCCGCAAGUAAAGUUUCUUCAGUUUCAGACGAUAUUUAAAGGUUAAUACCACCAGACCCUACAUUACCACUGCAACACCCCAGUCACCGUUACUCUCCUGGUUCACCACAGCUCUUUUGGCGUCUUACGAACAGGAUACGGGUGUGUGCCUACAGCUAUUUAAACACCAUUAUUGCAAGUGCCGUGGUCCUCCCCCUAUGCAGAACUGUGUUUUAUGAACUGUACAGAAUUGUCGCACGCUGCGAUUAAAAUUGCACCCAGAAGUGUACGGGUCUGUAUUGCUGGGAUUGUGCUUAGCCGGGGCGCAGGAAAAAGGACGGGAGGAGUUGAAGAAUUCUGUGCAGUUGCUGUUGUACCUGAAGGGGUUAAAGUCAGUGCCUUCCCCCGCGCGAAAAACUGCGACUACUCCCAGUUGAUCCUCCACAGUCACGCCUCUGGGUGCCGGCCGGAAGGAACGAAAAGUUCUCCCUGUGUUGCUGAGGGGAAGGAUUUCUUGCCAGAACUAAACCUGAAUUCCUCCUGGCGCAGCGAAAAUUCAAAAGCUCCGGCAGCUGUGCCCGCAUCGAUAUAGUACACCUCUGCUGCAAAGACUCUGCAAAAGCCAGAAGAAGAAUCCACGCAGCUGAUACCGCAGACUCUAGCGUCAGACCGCACAAGCCGCUGCAGCACGCCGUGGUCCAUCUUAAAGGGCCAGCAUACCCUAAUUGCCCAACAGCGACGAAGCACUCAAUCUUCAAGACGACAAACUCAAUCUUCAAGACAGCACACUCAAGCUUCAGGACAGCGCACUCAAGCUCCAAAUCAGCGCACUCAAAUUUUCUUAAAGGGCCAGCGUACCCAAUCAAUUUUCCAAGAUGUCAGCACCUACAGCAUCAUCACCACCACCUAACCAGCAGGAUGGUCGUGCUCCUGCAACCCCGCCAGAGGG